UACGAAGGGGGCUAGCGUUGCUCGGAAUCACUGGGCGUAAAGGGUGCGUAGGCGGGUCUUUUAAGUCAGGGGUGAAAUCCUGGAGCUCAACUCCAGAACUGCCUUUGAUACUGAAGAUCUUGAGUUCGGGAGAGGUGAGUGGAACUGCGAGUGUAGAGGUGAAAUUCGUAGAUAUUCGCAAGAACACCAGUGGCGAAGGCGGCUCACUGGCCCGAUACUGACGCUGAGGCACGAAAGCGUGGGGGAGCAAACAGG
rnacentral:rRNA from 1 species